CAGUAGCCACGGUAAUACGAAGGGGGCUAGCGUUGUUCGGAUUUACUGGGCGUAAAGGGCGCGUAGGCGGACUGAUAAGUCAGGGGUGAAAUCCCAAGGCUCAACCUUGGAACUGCCUUUGAUACUGUUUGUCUUGAGUUCGAGAGAGGUAAGUGGAACUGCGAGUGUAGAGGUGAAAUUCGUAGAUAUUCGCAAGAACACCAGUGGCGAAGGCGGCUUACUGGCUCGAAACUGACGCUGAGGCGCGAAAGCGUGGGGAGCAAACAGGAUUAGAGACCCGUGUAGUCCCUGUCUCUUAUAC
rnacentral:rRNA from 1 species